rnacentral:rRNA from 1 species
CCUACGGGAGGCAGCAGUGGGGAAUCUUGCGCAAUGGGCGAAAGCCUGACGCAGCCAUGCCGCGUGAAUGAUGAAGGUCUUAGGAUUGUAAAAUUCUUUCACCGGGGACGAUAAUGACGGUACCCGGAGAAGAAGCCCCGGCUAACUUCGUGCCAGCAGCCGCGGUAAUACGAAGGGGGCUAGCGUUGCUCGGAAUUACUGGGCGUAAAGGGAGCGUAGGCGGAUAGUUUAGUCAGAGGUGAAAGCCCAGGGCUCAACCUUGGAAUUGCCUUUGAUACUGGCUAUCUUGAGUACGGAAGAGGUAUGUGGAACUCCGAGUGUAGAGGUGAAAUUCGUAGAUAUUCGGAAGAACACCAGUGGCGAAGGCGACAUACUGGUCCGUUACUGACGCUGAGGCUCGAAAGCGUGGGGAGCAAACAGGAUUAGAUACCCUGGUAGUCCACGCUGUAAACGAUGAGUGCUAGUUGUCGGCAUGCAUGCAUGUCGGUGACGCAGCUAACGACAUUAAGUACACUCCGCCGUCGGGGAGGUACGGUACGCGAAGAAUUAAAACGUAACGAAACGGAAAGUUAGUACGGACGUGAGACGUGCCGAACGGACGACGACGAGGGAGGUUAGG